rnacentral:pre_miRNA from 1 species
UAUUUCAGGCGUUUAUACUGGUGAUGUUUGUUAUUACUUAUCUCCAGUGUACACCUGAAAUAUA